rnacentral:rRNA from 1 species
UACGGAGGGUGCGAGCGUUGUCCGGAAUCAUUGGGCGUAAAGGGCGCGUAGGUGGCUUCUUAAGCGUGCGGUGAAAGCCUGGGGCUCAACCCCGGGUCGGCCGUGCGAACUGGGGGGCUGGAGCACUGUAGAGGCAGGCGGAAUUCCGGGUGUAGCGGUGGAAUGCGUAGAGAUCCGGAAGAACACCGGUGGCGAAGGCGGCCUGCUGGGCAGUUGCUGACACUGAGGCGCGACAACGUGGGGAGCAAACAGG